rnacentral:rRNA from 1 species
GUUAGGAAUAUUCGUCAAUGGGGGAAACCCUGAACGAGCAAUGCCGCGUGAAGGAUGACGGUCCUAUGGAUUGUAAACUUCUGUUGUUAGGGAAGAACGACCUAAGUAGGAAAUGACUUAGGAGUGACGGUACCUUUCAAGAAAGCUCCGGCUAACUACGUGCCAGCAGCCGCGGUAAUACGUAGGGAGCGAGCGUUAUCCGGAUUUACUGGGUGUAAAGGGUGCGUAGGCGGCCGUAAGGGUCAGACGUGAAAUAUGUGGGCUUAACUCACAGACUGCGUUUGAAACUAUAUGGCUUGAGUGAAGUAGAGGCAGGCGGAAUUCCCUGUGUAGCGGUGAAAUGCGUAGAGAUAGGGAGGAACACCAGUGGCGAAGGCGGCCUGCUGGGCUUUAACUGACGCUGAGGCACGAAAGCGUGGGUAGCAAACAGGAUUAGAUACCCUAGUAGUCC